UGCACCUUUAAACGGAGCUGGCUCUCUGCGUGGGAAAAGGUGCAUUCCUCCUCCUGGAGGGCUUUCUUGACCCUGCACACCCAAGUCUCAUGAAGGGCUAGAAAACAGACUGGUUCUUGUGUCUUGUCCCUGGGUACUCAGAUCUAACCUCCAUGAGUGUGGCUUUCCACACUCCCUGGAAGGUCCCUGGUGACAGCAACCUGAGACCACUGCACUACGUCAGAACAUUUGAAGGCAUCAAUACACAAAGGGAGGAGAACCCAUCCUCCUUCAGCGCCCUGCAGAGAGCUCUGUGAACUAGAAUUCCUUCUUGCUUGCUGUUUUGAAAUGGAAAAGGGAACCCAGGAGCAUUGUUUCCAUGAGUGCAGACCACAGGACCCAAGUGCUAUGACUGACAGCCGGGCCUACCCGAACACUGACGUUAUGUUAACCAUGCAGGCAAGAUUCCAAAAGUCUGGUCUUUGACUGUGGCCAAUUUGUGAAAGAACUCUCAGAGGAAUUUCUAACCUGAGACUCUUGCUAAUGUUUUUCUUUAUUUGUUAGCUGAAUUACUUGCUUGCUUUUCUCACUUAUAAAAUGGGGGCUAUUGAUGAGAAAAAGUAAAUUAGCUAGUAGAUAAGACACUCUGUGCUUCUAGCUAUGUACUAAUCUGAAGAAUAACAUAUAUUGCAAUGUGUAAUUAUCUUCUUGUAAAGAAAUAAUAAAGUGUUCGAAUGAUUACUA